GUCUCUGUGGCGCAAUCGGUUAGCGCGUUCGGCUGUUAACCCAAAGUUUGGUGGUUAAAUCCCACCCAGGAACA
rfam:Nematostella vectensis strain CH2 x CH6 NEMVEscaffold_3299_Cont44803, whole genome shotgun sequence.